GCUGGGCAUGGUGGCGUGUGCCUGUAGUCCCAGCUGCUUGGGAGGCUGAGGCAGGAGAAUCGCUUGAACCCAGGAGGCAGAGGUUGUAGUGAGCUGAGAUCGCUCUACUGCAGUCCAGCCUGGGAAACAGAGCGAGACUCUGUCUCAA
rnacentral:SRP_RNA from 2 species